rnacentral:rRNA from 1 species
AGUCGAGCGGAGUUAGAGUGAACCGCAAGGUUUGGUCUAACUUAGCGGCGAACGGGUGAGUAACACGUGGGUAACCUGCCCAGAAGACUGGGAUAACGGCUCGAAAGGGCCGCUAAUACCGGAUAAUGUCUUCAUCCUGGAUGGGGUGAGGAAGAAAGGGGGAACCCGCUUUUGGAUGGGCCCGCGUCCCAUUAGCUAGUUGGUGAGGUAACGGCUCACCAAGGCGACGAUGGGUAGCCGGCCUGAGAGGGCGACCGGCCACACUGGAACUGAGACACGGUCCAGACUCCUACGGGGGGCAGCAGUAGGGAAUCUUCGGCAAUGGGCGAAAGCCUGACCGAGCGACGCCGCGUGAGGGAUGAAGGUCUUCGGAUUGUAAACCUCUGUCUAGGGGGACGAGGGAGGACGGUACCCCUGGAGGAAGCCCCGGCUAACUACGUGCCAGCAGCCGCGGUAAUACGUAGGGGGCGAGCGUUGUCCGGAAUUACUGGGCGUAAAGGGCGCGCAGGCGGCUGUGUAAGUCAGGUGUGAAAGGCCGAGGCUCAACUUCGGUUAGACGCCUGAUACUGCGUGGCUUGAGGGCAAGAGAGGGAAGUG